UUCGUAGUGACUGCGGAGGAUCAUUAUCGAAAUUAUUGGUGAGGGUUGUAGCUGGCCCCUCGAGGCAUGUGCACGCUCGAGCCCUUAAUCCACUUUACACCUGUUGCACUUAAUGUAGGUCGCCCUUAAAAAAGGUGACCUAUGUCUUAUCAUCAACCCAUCGUAUGUCUCAUAGAAUGUAAUCGAUAUCCUCGCCCUAAAAAAGCGUUGAUAAACUUAUACAACUUUCAACAACGGAUCUCUUGGCUCUCGCAUCGAUGAAGAACGCAGCGAAAUGCGAUAAGUAAUGUGAAUUGCAGAUUUUCAGUGAAUCAUCGAAUCUUUGAACGCACCUUGCGCUCCUUGGUAUUCCGAGGAGCAUGCCUGUUUGAGUGUCAUUAAAUUCUCAACUCCAAGGGUUUCACGACCUUUCGGAGAUUGGACUUGGAGGUGCUGGCCGCAUAUUGGUCGGCUCCUCUCAAAUGCAUCAGCGGAAUUCAACCUUUGGCUUCCGGAUGUCAGUGUGAUAAUCAUGUUGCGCUGUCGUUUGAUCCCUCAGAGUCCGCUUAUAAUGGUCUUCGGACAAAAUCAUCAUCAAAUUUGACCUCAAAUCAG
rnacentral:rRNA from 1 species